AAAAAUACUAAGCCGAGCUCGGUGAGCGUCGAACGAAUUCUCCACUACUUAAUGCGUUUUGAUUUGGAAAAUGGAAUUAUCCUUUCUUUAUUCGGACAAAGGAAACUUGUACACAGGUGUUUGUCCUGGCUGCGCAGUAAAAAUAGGCGAAAACAAAAGAAAGUGUGCAUUGGAAACUCAUCUCCAAAGCAAAAGCAGGCAUCUUCUGUCAUGCGUCACCAGUUUAUUUAUAGAAUUUCGACUGGAUUUGACUUGGAAUUUACUCGACUGUCAAAAAUGAUCAAUCCAUCCGUUACUGACAGUCAGCGACUGUCAAUUGCAGGGCACAUACAGACACUCACGCAUUCACCCCCAUUCACACGGCUGGACAAUUUAAAGUUUGGAUAGAAGCCGACAGGCAGAUUUUUGAAAAGUGGCAGGAAGCUGAA